rnacentral:rRNA from 1 species
GCAGUAGCCGCGGUAAUACGGAGGGAGCUAGCGUUGUUCGGAAUUACUGGGCGUAAAGCGCGCGUAGGCGGUUACUCAAGUCAGAGGUGAAAGCCCGGGGCUCAACCCCGGAACUGCCUUUGAAACUAGGUGACUAGAAUCUUGGAGAGGUCAGUGGAAUUCCGAGUGUAGAGGUGAAAUUCGUAGAUAUUCGGAAGAACACCAGUGGCGAAGGCGACUGACUGGACAAGUAUUGACGCUGAGGUGCGAAAGCGUGGGGAGCAAACAGGAUUAGAUACCCCAGUAGUCCCUGUCUCUUAUAC